rnacentral:lncRNA from 1 species
UGGAUUAUGUGGGCCUAAGCCUAUCCUUUGUGGCUCCCUAAUUUAAAAAUGAUCUUAAUGGCUCUUAAUCAUCUUAUUGUGUUGACUUUAUUAUUAGUUUACUAUUUAUGAUCAUUGCAUUCAUGUUAGUGAGCUUUUGAUAGUUAAGAUGCCCUUACUCUAAUAUGAUCUUGGGCCUUUAGAUCAUUAAAUCAUCGGGAUGAUUACUUAUCCA